rnacentral:rRNA from 1 species
UACGGAGGGUGCAAGCGUUGUUCGGAUUUACUGGGCGUAAAGCGCGCGCAGGUGGAUGACCAAGUCGGAAGUGAAAUCCCAGGGCUCAACCCUGGGGCUGCUCCCGAAACGGGUCGUCUAGGGACUGGUAGAGGCUGGUAGAAUUCCCGGUGUAGCGGUGGAAUGCGUAGAGAUCGGGAAGAAUACCUGUGGCGAAGGCGGCCAGCUGGGCCAGAUCCGACACUGAGGCGCGAAAGCUAGGGGAGCAAACAGG